rnacentral:rRNA from 1 species
UACGGAGGGUGCUAGCGUUAUUCGGAAUUACUGGGCGUAAAGCGCACGUAGGCGGCUUUGUAAGUUAGAGGUGAAAGCCCGGGGCUCAACUCCGGAAUUGCCUUUAAGACUGCAUCGCUAGAAUUGUGGAGAGGUAAGUGGAAUUCCGAGUGUAGAGGUGAAAUUCGUAGAUAUUCGGAAGAACACCAGUGGCGAAGGCGACUUACUGGACACAUAUUGACGCUGAGGUGCGAAAGCGUGGGGAGCAAACAGG